AUGUUUUUGAGUUGUGGCAGUCUCGCUAAUCUUGCUCUCAAGUUGGUUGAAACUAAGGAACAUUUACACUUUCCUUUGGUUUACCGGCUCAUCACACUUUCUUUGACUUUGCUAGUAACGACGACAUCUAUUAAAAGAGUUUUCUCAACCAUGAAUAUCAUUAAGACAGAUUUGAGAAAUAAGAUAUCUGAUGAUUGGUUGAAUGAUAUGAUGAUAUGCUAUGUAGAGCGAGAUAUAUUUGCUGGAAUUGAUGACAAGAAGAUCAUAGAACAUUUUCACAGCUUGAGAGACCGUAGAGGCCAUCUACCAAACCCUCCGCGUAUCUAUUAG
rnacentral:rRNA from 1 species